CCUACGGGUGGCAGCAGUGAGGAAUAUUGGUCAAUGGGCGAGAGCCUGAACCAGCCAAGUCGCGUGAGGGAGUACUGCCCUAUGGGUUGUAAACCUCUUUUGUCGGGGAGCAAAAGCCGGACGUGUCCGGCUGUGAGAGUACCCGAAGACAAAGCAUCGGCUAACUCCGUGCCAGCAGCCGCGGUAAUACGGGUGAUGCGAGCGUGACCCGGAGUUAUUGGGUGAAAAGGGGUCGCAAGCGGAUUUUUAAGUCAGCGGUAAAAUCGUGGGGCUCAACCCCAUCCAGCCGUUGAAACUGGUGAUCUAGAUUGUGCGAGAGGUAUGCGGAAUGCGUGGUGUAGCGGUGAAAUGCAUAGAUAGUACGCAGAACCCCAGUUGCGAAGGCAGCAUACCGGUGCACAACUGACGCUCAGGCCCGAAAGCGUGGGUAUCGAACAGGAUUAGAUACCCCGGUAGUC
rnacentral:rRNA from 1 species